CAGGUUUACCUGUGUGACUGCGUACCUUUUGUAUAAUGGGUCAGCGACUUAUAUUCUGUAGCAAGGUUAACCGAAUAGGGGAGCCGGAGGGAAACCGAGUCUUAAUUGGGCGUUAAGUUGCAGGGUAUAGACCCGAAACCCGGUGAUCUAGCCAUGGGCAGGUUGAAGGUUGGGUAACACUAACUGGAGGACCGAACCGACUAAUGUUGAAAAAUUAGCGGAUGACCUGUGGCUGGGGGUGAAAGGCCAAUCAAACCGGGAGAUAGCUGGUUCUCCCCGAAAGCUAUUUAGGUAGCGCCUCGUGAAUUCAUCUCCGGGGGUAGAGCACUGUUUCGGCUAGGGGGCCAUCCCGGCUUACCAACCCGAUGCAAACUGCGAAUACCGGAGAAUGUUAUCACGGGAGACACACGGCGGGUGCUAACGUCCGUCGUGAAGAGGGAAACAACCCAGACCGCCAGCUAAGGUCCCAAAGUCAUGGUUAAGUGGGAAACGAUGUGGGAAGGCCCAGACAGCCAGGAUGUUGGCUUAGAAGCAGCCAUCAUUUAAAGAAAGCGUAAUAGCUCACUGGUCGAGUCGGCCUGCGCGGAAGAUGUAACGGGGCUAAACCAUGCACCGAAGCUGCGGCAGCGAACGUAUCACUUAAAGCGAUUCAGCGGGUUACGAUUGAUGGAGCGAAGCGACGUCAAAGCGUAUACAAAGUCGAGUCGGUUUAAGGAUACGUUCGUUGGGUAGGGGAGCGUUCUGUAAGCCUGUGAAGGUGGCCUGUGAGGGUUGCUGGAGGUAUCAGAAGUGCGAAUGCUGACAUAAGUAACGAUAAAGCGGGUGAAAAGCCCGCUCGCCGGAAGACCAAGGGUUCCUGUCCAACGUUAAUCGGGGCAGGGUGAGUCGACCCCUAAGGCGAGGCCGAAAGGCGUAGUCGAUGGGAAACGGGUUAAUAUUCCCGUACUUGGUGUU
rnacentral:rRNA from 1 species